GACGAACGCUGGCGGCGUGCCUAAUACAUGCAAGUCGAACGAACGGAUAAAGAGCUUGCUCUUUUGAAGUUAGUGGCGACGGGUGAGUAACACGUGGGGUAACCUGCCUCACAGCUGGGGAUAACAUCGAGAAAUCGAUGCUAAUACCGAAUGUGCUGAACAUCAUAAGAUGUUCAAGUGAAAGACGGUUUCGGCUGUCACUGUGAGAUGGACCCGCGCUGGAUUAGCUAGUUGGUAAGGUAAUGGCUUACCAAGGCGACGAUCCAUAGCCGACCUGAGAGGGUGAUCGGCACAUUGGGACUGAGACACGGCCAAACUCCUACGGGAGACAGCAGUAGGGAAUCUUCGGC
rnacentral:rRNA from 1 species